AAAAAGAUAAGCUAAAUAAGCUAAUGGGUUCAUACCCCAUUUAUAAAGGUCAUAGUCCUUUUCUUUUUA
rnacentral:tRNA from 1 species